GGAAUAGUCGUGAGAAGAGUGAUGCUCAAUCUAUUCUUAAUUCAGCAGUUUGCUUCAGUUAUUCCGAUACAUACUCAUGCUUUAUGUUUCAGCUCCACGAUCAUAGUUCGUAUUCAUGGAUAUGAUAGGGAAUCAUGUACUCUCCUAGAUCCUAGUAUGAUGAGUUCCCAGUUGGGUACGUCCUUAGAUUAGACCUCUUUAAUGAGUCCAUGCCGUGAGUGCUCUAUUCCCCAUGCC
rnacentral:lncRNA from 1 species